UAAAGUGGUAGCGAAAAGCAAAAUCUAUGCUGACCUCUUUCCUGCCUUAUGAAUCAGAGGGAAUUUGCCUAGAAAUCACAAGUGUAAUUUAAAUGCUUGACUUCAUUUCCUGUAGAUUCCCAUUUGACUCUGCAAUAAAUUAGAACUGAAGAACCACAUCUGCAUGACAUUUUACCCUCUGCACAGCACUUUCAAGUACAUUAUCUCAUCGGAGCUCCAACAGCUCAGGGAAAAAAAUAGCCCUACGUCACCUUAAUCAACUGAUCAAAGUUAACGUCAUCAAUAGAGACAAAUCCAAGUCAGGUGUCACCUGACAGGAUACACUAAGAGGAUCGAUUCUCAAGACAGUCCUUCCAAAAACGCCUAACAUGAACCUACUCACGAGCAACAUCAGACAAACACAAAUCACAGGAUGAUCAUUCAAAUAACCGCCUGUACCCCUCAAAAAGGACAAAAAUAAAAGGGCAAGGAAAGAGAAAUCGGUCCAGAGUAAGAGAGUCUUAAGGAGAUGCGACGCCUCAAUACAAAAUGUGAUUCCACUUUUCCCAGCACCACUUACUGAAAAGGCCAACUCUUCUGUGUUACGUUCUUACCUCCAUUGUCAAAGAAAGGUGAUACCUAGAGCAGGAGCAACCAUCUUGCAACCAUGAAGGAAAGGCCAAGAAAAUUACAGAACAGACCUGACACUGUUGAGCAGCUCAGCCAAUGUCAGCAAGAUACCUGCCUCCAAACUUCUCCUCAGGUAUCCUGAGGAGCCUACUAUGUGUUAAGCAUUCUACCAGGUGCUGGGAAAACAAAGUGAUCAAGAUUUUGUCAAAGCCCGUUUCCAGUCAGCUUACAUUCGAGCAGGAAGCUGAUUUGUAAAAUGAGACACAUGGAAAAUGGUAUCUCCCAAUACCCACACUUACAAAGCAAUGUAUAUAAUACAGGCAUCAGGAAAAAAACAAUAAAGGGAGGGGGCUUCUCAAAGAGACUACUCCAACUCCCUGAGUCUAGGAGGGGAAAAAAAGGUAAUAACUAUGAAGUUAGAAGUUAAAUAAUUACAAAAUAAAAGAAACAGGAAAAAAAAAAGAAGCAGCAGCACUCAAUUCACAUUUUCAACCCCACUCUGCACAAAGGAACUGCAGUAAAGAGAACAGAUCCUAAAUCAGACGUAAUAG